rnacentral:lncRNA from 1 species
GGCCUGUGAUACAUCAAAAUGCACAACUCCCUUGGUUCCUCUUUGAACCCUGGCCAGUUUUGGGGGGGGAAACCAACAGGAGAAAGAGAAAACCUGAUGUUCUACUUGACUGUCGCAUAGAUUUGUUUAUUCAGUGGACUUUAGAGACCUCAACUACAAAGUGGAUGCACUGCUGUAGGGCUUCCCAAUUGCCAAGACAGGUUCUCCAAAUCCUCGCUGCAACUGGGGCACCACAACGACUGUGGAUCUGGAUGACGGGCACCAUUUUUGCAGCUGCUCCUGCAAAUAUCUCCCUACAGUGCAAUCCGAUUUUCCUUGUACAUAUCAAAUGAAGUGUAAAGUAGUGAAAGAUACAGAAAUGAGCAGAGUUCUGACACCCUGUGGGUAAGACACUGAAGUCAUUUUCAUUUGUCAAGUAGGUGAUGUAACAGCUAAAUGAAAACCUCUUAGCAAAACCUGAGACAUCCAGUUUCUUUAUAUACUCAAACCAGGCUCUGCUCCUUUGUGUUCAUUCCCUAUCUUUUCAAAAUGCUUACAGCUCUCAGUAAUGUCUAUUGGCAUAAAGUCUUAGGGUCAGCAUCAAAUCCCAUUAAAAUAAUCUGAAAGACUCCUUUUGAGUUCAGUGGGUUUUAAAUCAGACUCUUAUUAGACUCACCUUGUAGAGUAAUAAAUAUUCAUAGAUGGAUGAAAGAACAGAAAAUCUCUCCAGUAGUUUUGAGUCCAGCAAAAAGAUCAUUUCCUUGGUGAAGGAUAAUUCCCUUGUUGACCAAGAAAGUCUCAUGGGCCAGGAUGAAAGUCUGUGCUUUAGGGAUAUGCAGGAUAUAAUCGGGUAAAAAAGGUAAUAAAAAGAAUAUAACUAUAGAAGCACAUAACAGAAUUUAUAAUGAAAUACCUGCAAGAUAUUCAGGUGUCUUAUUUUUUUCUUUAAGCUAAAUGCAACUGGAAUUUUUGUGAAUGUUAACUGAUUGUUUCUAACAAAUCACUUUGCCACUAAAUAGCAUGUUGGCACAGCUUCAGUAAUCAAAUUAAAGCAAGGUAAUUUUUAAUUCUGCUUCUAGUGUCUCCCGCUAAACAAGCAACUCCUCUCCAUUUAUGUUAUGCAGCUGCCAAUGCUAUAAUCUUGUUCAGCCUCUUGUGGUAUAAUAAAGUCUUACUGACAGGACUGAAUUCAAUGUUUUCUGUUUUACAUAAUAAGAUUCAGACUGGUGAGUUUGAGUGGAGGCCUGGCUGGAAAACCUCAGUGUGCUUUCUCAAUAUAUGGACUAUUUUUUAUGCAGAGUGAGUUAGAGAAGCAAAGACAGAGGAUUUGAGAGAAGUGGAAAUUAAGACAUCACCAGAUGCUAAGAAACUUGGACAUUCAGGUAGUGGAGACUUCACUUUUGGUACAAGUCAAAAGGAGUCUCAAGGUGCAGAAAUUGCACUACUAUCACAGUAGUUUCAUAUUAGUACUUAAAACACACUUUAUAAAAAGAUGAAGUGUUUCUGAAAUGCUGACUUGACAGAAUGGUGGCAAACUCUAAGGACAUCAUUUGUUCACACAGGGAAAAGGCAUUAUAUGAUGUUUUCUGCUGCAAUUACUCUGACUACAGUACCAUACUCUACAUACAGUACAGUGUAGUGAGCAGGACUAUGGAAGUAAUCCUGCUCCUGUACUCAGCACUGGUGAGGCCUCACCUCAAGUACUGCGUUCAGUUUUGGGCACCUCAGUACAAGAAGGACAUGAAGGUGCUGGAGCAGGUCCAAAGAAGGGCAACAAGGCUUGUGAAGGGCUUGAAAAAUAUGCCCUAUGAGGAGCGACUGACAGAACUGGGGCUGUUUAGUCUGGGGAAGAGGAGGCUGAGGGGAGACCUUAUUGCUCUCUUCAAAUACUUGAAAGGUGCUUGCACAGAGAGCAGGGCUGGUCUCUUCUCACUGGUGACAAGUGACAGGACGAGGGGAAAUGGCCUCAAGUUGUGCCAGGGGAGGUUUAGACUGGAUAUCAGAAGAAUUUCUUUACAGAAAGGGUUGUUAAGCACUGGAAUAGGCUCCCCAGGUUCCCAGGUGGUUGUGUCGCCAUCCCUGAAUGUGUUUGAAAUCCAUUUGGAUGUGGUGCUCGGGGACAUGAUUUAGCAGAGGGUUGUUAGUUAGGGUAGUAUGGUUAGGUUGCAGUUGGACUUGAUGAUCUUGAAGGUCUUUUCCAACCUAAGCAACUCUAUGAUUCUAUGAUUCUUUGAUUCUACCAUCCAAUGACAUGGAAAGAAAGAAUCAAUCCAAUAGACUUUAUAUAGACCUAAACCCACCUUGGUGGCUUAGCUGGUGGACAAGGUCUUUGUAUGCGUACUCAAAGAGCAAGAUAAGGUUAUCAACAAGGCUUCAGAAAUUGCUGAGGUUUCUUUUGGCAUAACCUUGUAUGUUAUAGUAGUAACAAAAUACUCAGUGCAUAGCCAUGCAUUUUGCAGUACUGGCCCAGGGUGUAGUUGUUUUUGUCACUUAGUGUCAUUCAUUUAAUGUAAAUACUAUACACUUAUGUAAGAAUAUGUUUUAAUUGUAUAGAAAAAGACGGGAAAUAUUAAGUUAUAACAUGCCUAAGGAGCUAAAAACUGUAAUGCACAUACAUUGCAGAAAUAAAAACUUUUUUUUCUUGUUAUUGUCCCAGAUAUUACCCCUUUGGUGGAAUCAACUAGACUAAUAAGUACAUUGUGUGUAAAUGCAGUAUUAAAAUAUGGUGUGACUAUUUAAAUGUACAGUCAUAGAGCGUCCAUACCAAUAGAAAGAAGAACUUAAAUCACACUAAUUAUCUCGAUAUCUGCUGGUCUUAGCAGAAAGAGAAAGCAGCAAAGGAGUGUGUACAAACUACUUUGUCAGCUAUAGGCAUUCACCCCUACAAGUAGACAUAAAGUGCAUAGGUAGAAUGAGAACAUGACACUUCUGUAGUUGCCUGCACCAUGGACUAGAUAACAGGUGCUCUCAAUCACUGCAUAUCUGUUCAGUGUCUUUCUAAGGACACUAUUUUCAAAACCCUGUCUGAAAAGAAAAGCCCAAAUUCCAGGAGUCUUUUUAACAGUAACCAGUGAUCUGAAGCAACACAUUUCACAGUUAUUCUUAGAGGUAACACUCUCUUUAUUCUUAUUUUUCAUUGAAAAAAUCAAGACAAAAAUGCUGAAAAGCAUUAAUAAACAUCCCACCAUAGUUUCUCAGACAGAUGUAAUCAGUAUGAUCUCAAUUUAUUAAAAAAAUACCAGUAGUAAAACGUCAUCUUUUAGGUAAAGCCCUCAGUUGUCCAGGCUUACAAACAAAUAUGGGUAAACACACUAAAUUGAGAGCUUAUUUAAUUAAGCUUAGUUUGACUUUCUCAUUUGGUAGGUUCAGGAUUCUAAAUUGAUGUAUUCUAUAGUUUGCUGUGAGACAUUUCAAUUUUAAGUAUUUCUGCCUGUCAGUGCUGAAGGUUAAUUAUAGUUUCCAUGAUGUCUUCUCAUGAUGAGUAAAAGUUAAACUGCAAUAAAAGAAUGGUACCAAUAAUUCUCUAAAGAAAAGGUCUUUAUGCAUUGAAGUAAGCAACUUUUUUUUGUUAUCUUAGAAGACAUUGUUGCUAUAAGACCAGCUGUGGCCUCUCCUGUUCCUGUGAAGUCAGAGAAUUGUAAUUGUUAUUAGGCCUCUGAGCACUUAAACCACAGUAUUUUACAGAAUUCUGUGCUCAUUGACAUAAGCAUUCUCAAACAUAGGAGAAAAAUUAUGAGAAACCAAGGGAAUGGACUAACAGUAUUUGUUAGAACAUUAUGUACAAAGCAGUACUGUUGCUCUGGACUUUUUUUCUGGUAUGAAAAACUUUGAUGCCAAUGCUUCACAUUCAUCACACAGUCACUGAUCAAUAGAUUAUGAGUAGUCAGAACCCAGCUUUCCACACUGCUUGAUUUUCAGCUGAAGUAAACCCUCAGUCAGGCCGAAUCUCUUCCAUUACUUUUUCAGCUGUGAUGAAAUGUCAGCUGCAUUUAGCUUUGUCUCAGAGAACAUUACCUCCUCAAAAUGUGGAAAACCACCAUGAGGCAUUACCACAAUACGGACAGAACACCUGAGGCUGCAAAGACAAAGUCUGCUUUUUAUCUCACAGUGGUAAAAUUCAUGUGACAAUAGUUCACAUUAUAAACCUUGAAGAAAACUAGAUUAAUUGAAUUUUUAUUAAGAACAGUGUGAAAGAAAAACAAAAAGGAAAUACCAAUAGGGGUACAAGACCUAGCUUGGCAAAAAGGAAGCUAUUACAGUUUAGUGGGCUCUGCAGAAUACUGAGGAUAUCUAGGGUGAGUCUAAAUGGAAUCAUAAAGACAUGAAAAAUAGGGAGAUUAUGUGCUAAAUUUACUGAUUUUGUAAGAAGUGUUUCUGAAAUCCAAGUGAAGUUAGAGAUAAGUAUCGUGAUUGAGCUUGACGUGUUUGUAUCAAUCAUUUUCACUGUUGGUAGUUCCUGAAAAAUUAGUCCAACUGGGGAGUUUACAUGUUCUGAUCCCAAAUUAUUUCAUAAUAUUAAAUAUGUCUUUGCAGGUGUGUUUAUUUUCCUAUUCCUUAAAGGACAACUAAACUAUGGCAAUUUAUCCUGGAAAGAAAUGUAGGAUUUAAUUUUUUUAAUUUCCCCGUUUUACCACCCCCAUAAAACAAUUAAAAGCUUUCUGUUCUUGAGGAAUUCUGAGCAGAAGCCAAGCAUUCAGAAUAUUCCAUCUUUACUUAGAGUUCUUGUGGCGUUCCGUAGCUAUUUAAGUUAUUGUACUUCUGAAGCUGAACAUUAAAUAUGUCUUGCAUGGAAAUAAAUGUGUAUAAAACCUACAAAUACCAUAAACACUUUCAGAAAAUAAUCUAUAAAUUUCACUGUAUUAGUUUUUAUGCACAAAUUACUGAGAAAGCUAUUUUUCUAGAUAGGCCUGAGUCUCUAUCCAUGACAUUCAAGGUCAUCUUUUAUUUUUCUCUGGCAUUUGUACAAAUGCUGAAACAGAAAUUCAUUUAAAAUUACUUCAUACCAUGAAUUAAUAGAAUGGUAAGGUGGUGUUGGUAGAGAUUUAGGCAGUGUGAUUUGGUGCUUAAUCUUCUGUGGCCAUAUUGCUGAGUUUUAAAACCAUUCUGGAACCAGCUCUGAGACCACACAUCUAAGCCUAAAAUAUUUUCUUCUUGUUCUUGUUCUAGAGUAGGAUGUAUGUUGCUCCUAUACCUGAAGAUCAGAAAUUUAUUGCUGCCUUUGGAGAUGACUCUUCAACAAGAGACAUAUCUUGUCAAGUUGUGAACACCAAACAGGUGUGUACUGCAUACUGUGCUCUCAGAAGGUCUUCUGAUAAAGCUGGAGGAAGGCAAAGUAAUGAAAUUUAUCACCUCUUCCUGACAAACUUGAUCACAUCUGGCUAUGGAAACUUGAGCAAUUACAGGAGCUGAAACAGGAGCUUAUCAAAAUUUGAUCCAGGACUGCUUAAAAGGUGAUAAUGAAAGAAAAGUUUUAUCUCUCUUCAUUUCUUUCUUUCACCCUCAACUCCCAAAAAUGUAUUUUCCUUAAAGCACAGAGAAAUUGUACUUGCACAUAACCAGUUUAAUUUUAGUUACAGUUAAUUGUGAGAAUUUGCUUGGAGCUUCAGCUAGCCAUGCACUUCCCUGCCUCCUGCAGUCCAGAAAUCCAUCUUUUACUAUUGCAGAUGACCUGCAGUCUCUGCAGGAGAAAUCAAGUAUCUGCACAGAAGUCACAAGAAAUUCCACACAACCACACACACACACACACUCACACACAAAAUAAGAAAAAGCCUGUAGAGUUUGAGCAUCCGUAAAUUUUAAGGUUUACAAUUAUUUGAGCUCUUGUUUUUUUACAGUCUUAACCAUGCGCAUAAUUUGUAACUGUGAGAACCUCAGAAGUGAGCAUUUCUGUUGGACUGCAUAUAAAUAGGCAAGGUAACAUUUUCUAUGAGCUGGUUCCAAGUUGAAUGCAGGCAUGUUGUAGAGGUUAAUGGCUAAUAUUAAACUCCUGUUGUUAUCAGCAGUUUGACUCCACAGUUCAUUACUGCUGCCUUAGUCUGUUACUGAUGCUUCUAUUCUUUCCUGUGUGUUUAUGAGUUAGUGAAAGAGCCCUGCAAAGGGCUGCAAAGAUUUCAGGCAUAUUGCGCAAAAGCAUUAUGCUACUUGUGAGGAAGUAAUAAAAUUCUGUUUAUCCAAAAAGCACUUUUAUUGUACUGAUUUUCAUUCUUAUUCUUGUUAAAAAUAAAUAUUUUUUUUUAAUUGUCUUUUUUUUUCUGGCUUGAUAAGAGAAGGAAAAUCCCCUUAAAGAUAAUUAGAUGGGGAAAAUACAAACUGAUACAGUCCCUCCCCCCGUACUGAACCCCAGUUAGAAAAAAAGAAUUGAAUAAACAGUGAAAUGUUUUGCUUUUUUCUCAGCCAAAAUUAAAUAUUCCCUUUCAGUAUCAAUAUGACAAGUGAAGAAAAUAAGGGGCUGUGUUCACAAAACUGCUGCAGGUGAUAGUAUUCAUGGCUGAGUAACAGAGAGGUUAGGCAUCCGUCAGGAUGGAAAGAGCACCAUUCAGUUUAUUCCUUUCCCUGAGGAAAUUUGAACCAACCAUUUCUUAAUUUCUAGGGACUCACUAAGCCAUAAUCACUAAAUGAUAAGCUAAUUCAGUGUUUUCUCUUGACGCUUUUACAAGUAAAUUAUAUUUCAGAACAGAUGUUAUACCCAGGUGCUGCACUUUCCCAAGAAGGCACUAUUAACACUUAAAAAAUUAUGUAGAAAUUGGAACAGCUCGUGGGUAAGAUAAAAAAGGACAUGAAUUCAGAUUACCUUGUACCCAGUACAUCAACAUGCCCUGCUCUGCCCUUCUGCCAGAAAAGAAACUAAAAACAUAAAAAUGCCACUCUUCACUGAUGCUAAGUUACUAACUCAGGUGAUGAUAGGGCUUCAGUCCCUCUCCUAGUGAGCUUUAAGGAAAGACAAUAGCAUUGGCCUCAAGUUGCGCCAGGGGAAGUUUAGGUUGAGUAUCAGGAAGAAGUUCUUUACAGAAAGGGUUGUUUAGCACUGGAAUAGGCUCCCCAGGGAGGUGGUUGAGCCGCCAUCCCUGAAUGUGUUUAAAAACCAUUUGGAUGUGGUGCUCAGGGACAUGAUUUAGCUGAGUGUUGUUAGGGUAGUAUGGUUAGGUUGCAGUUGGACUUGAUGAUCUUGAAGGUCUUUUCCAACCUGAGCAAUUCUGUGAUUCUAUGAUUGCUUUCUGAGAAGAGAUGUAGAGAAGCCCAUGUGUACUACUGGAGGAUACAGUGGUUUCAGUAACUUCAUAUACAGGAGAACUGCUACCAGUGCUACUUGUAAAUGGUUGUCUGACUUCAGAGUGCCCAUGACCACAUACACAUGCAAAUAAAAUUCUGUUGUCACCUCAGGAAACAGAUAAUUUCCAGAUGGAAUUAAAUAAAGUUUUCAUAAUCUUUAAUAAGUAAAAUAAUUUACUAUAUUUAGGAUAGUAUUUUAUGACUAGAAAUUUCACAUUCAUUGUUUAUGCCUUGAAUAUUACUGUUAUGGACAUCAUUUAUCAACUAUAGAAUUACUUUCAUCUGGAGAUUCAGGAAUGCUUUUAAAGCAGCUCUGCAGCUGCUACAGCACCUGUGUGAGGUAGUAAGUCCUCGCCUCACAGGAUUACAGUGCUUAGAUGAACCCAUCAGGGUCUCCAGAUCACUUGGGAUAGCUUUGCACAGCAGCCUGGUGUUGCCAAAGAAAAGAUAGUUCUACAUAAAGCAAAAAAGAUAUGUAGGGAGGAAGAAGAAAAAUUACUACAUUUUAACAUGGUAGCCGAAUGGAGAGGGGAAAAUUCUGUGAUUAAUCCCCUUUGCUGUAAGGUUAUAUUAUGAGGACUUAAAUUACAUGAUCCCUGUACUUUAAUAACAAUAUUCCCUAUAGCGUCUUUGAAAAGGAAUCAUUAGUAUUUUUAUUUCUCCAGAUCUCAUACUGUGAUAUGGGUUCAACAUCGUCUCCAAGGGAAAAUCUUCAUAUGUGUACUUACAGACUGUGUUUCUUCACCAUCUUGAACCAUUCUGGUGUUGCUCCACCUGAGCAGGAGCCAGGUUUCUCCUCUCCUAUUUCUGAGUCAUGCCAACUCCACUAGCCUAUGAUUGAGUUACUUUUUUUCCACUUCACAUGCCAGAAGCAAUUCAGCAUUUGUCCACCUGGCAUCACAUCAAAAUUUCUGUUCCUGGCAGGCAGUCAAGUCAUGCUAGUUCAGCUUUUCCACUUGCUCAUUUGGCACCACUUUUUAAUAGAGAGGAAGAGUGCUCUUCUGCCCUGUCCUGCAGGCAGUGACCGCUGUGUGCAUAUGUUUUUCACAGUAGAUUGUGUCUCCAAAGCAUCAGGUUCUGUAGCAAUUCCUCAUCAACACACAAACAAGAUUUAUUAACGAUUUAGAGUAAGCACAUCCCAACCCUUUACAGCCUUACAUAAACACUCCCUGUCUAUAAGCUGCCUCUACUUUAACACAACCCUAGUGAAGACUGAGCCUGAACCUGUCCAAUAAGCAGAGGCCCUCAAAUAGUUCUGAAAGCUUGAGGAGAUAUUUCAAUCCAUAAUAUUGAUAAAGACAAAUGUGAAGCAAAUUCUGAUUGAUUAAAUCACUUCAGUUAAAUUCAUUUAAAACAGUAAAUAUUUUCCUUCUGGAAGAAUUAGCAAUCAGAGAACUGGAACAUAUUGGCUUGUCUGUUUCCUCUAAAAACAAAAAUCAGUCCAGGCAUAUUUAAGGAGUGUGAGUUCCAGAGCUUUAUAAGGCAUUGUACAUCUCAGAUGAUAAGCUAAUCAAUAUCAUAAGUUAAUCCGAUCAUAUAUUAAUCACUAUUGUCUUACACCUAUUGUGCAUUCAGCACUUGCAAACUCCAGUGUUCAUCAUACUUAAAAGAGUGUAUUUCUUGCACAACUUCUGUUAUGCACUGUGAUCCUUGUGCUUUUUCUGUAGACUAUGAUUCUUGUCUUCUUAUUACCUGAAACUGGUGAAUAGCUUAUAUAUUUUCUGUAGAAAUUCAUUCUCUGACAUUAGUUAGGAUUUUACUUUGUUUUGCUGGGAAUGGGAGGAGGAGACUGUUGAUGGAUGUAAUUAUUUUGAUGGAGUGGUUAACAAUACACAAAGGAAUGGAGUCAAGUUUCAUCUGCUGCCUACUGAAACAGAAAUUACAAUGAAGUGUUAACAUCCACUGCUAUUAAUUUGUGUAUUUAAUCAAUCGCCCUUAAUUGGCAGGAGUUAUACACACAUAUAUGCACAUAAACAUGCACAAAGACACACACACAGAUAUGAUAGCAAUUCCAAACAGCAUAUAAAACAGGACACCAUUUUGCAUGACCACCUUUAUUCUCAGGUUUUAUUUUACUAGUAAGGAAUAACUUUAAUAUUUUUAUUUCUAAGUCAUUUUUUAAGUGUAAGGAAGGAAGUACUAGUGUUACUGGAAAACACAAAUACUCUAAACCCUACUUAAGCCACAAGUGACAUUAUACAAUAGACUGAGCUCUGCACAAGCCUACCCUAAACCCUAAAAAAAUACUUACAGACGUUUCAAGCUCAGUGUAUAUUAUUCUCAUUACACAGAGAAGAAAGAAAGGAAGAUUUUCCACCAUCAAGGAGAGUGAACAGAGUAUAAAUGCAUAAUUCAAGGAGAAAUGCAAAUCUUGCACAUUUGUAAGUCCAUCUAAAAGAAACAAAAGUUUUGAAUGCAUUGAAUAAAGCAAUAAAAUGGCCAGUAGCUACAAAAUGAGAUGGGGAUGAGUACAUAACACUGCACUCAUUUUACACAUUGACUUUCAGUGUGAAAUGUAGCAAACAAGGCUGAAAUACACUGUCUACUGUUAUGAUAUGAAGCAAGUCACCCUGGACACAUCUAGACUGUGAGACUGAGAACUAAAUAAUCUGUACUUUUGUUCUAUUUGUUUAACAGAAUAUCUACUUUUUUGUCCUAGGUAAACGUGGAAAUGCAUAUUAAAAAAUACGAUACAAAAGCUCUUUUUAUUAGCACUUAAAGCCUGCAAGAAUUUUAAGUGUUAAAAUUCUCAAAGAUAAAUGUGACCUUUUUUCAGGUUUAUGUAAUUAUUUUUUACCAAUCAAUGUAUUUUGUGUCUCUAAACUGAAUCUCUAUAGUACAUUCUUUAGAGAUUUCUAUUUGAAUAGAGGUCCGAUGUUUCAUGUUGUACAGCAUGUGCAUGGUACUUUUAUACAUUUUCUUUUACUUCGAGCCAGCAGUGUUGGAUCUGAGAUCUAAGGUAACCAGUCUGGAAGGAAUACUUUGGCACAAGUGCCAGUCUCAUCUGGUUUUGAAACUGCACAGCUGAUGUAGUUCUCCCACCUACAACAGAGAGUACCUCUUGCUUUCUUAGCCCACUCUAUAUUUGAUGUAUGUACUUUUCCUUAACCGACCAGCUCCUAUUUCCUUCCUUUCUUUUCUUCCUUUGAUUCUGUCAUUCCCACCUAAUUUAUCCAGUCAUUUGAAAAAAAGUCAGAGUUUGGAAAUGAAGCUAGGACAAAGGUUGUCUACUUCACAGUUAAGAUAAAGUCUUAUUCAUUUUACUGUUUCAAGUUAAUCUGUCAAAAUAUAUAUUCACC